rnacentral:lncRNA from 1 species
UUUUUUUGUGAAAGUAACUUUUUUUUUCUUGUCGAAGUAAUUUUUAUUUUUUUGUCAAUAUAUCUUGUAUUUUAUUUUUGGACAAAAAACAAAAAAACAUUGGACUAGUGACAAUUUCUAAAGUACCUAUAAAAGUCAGGCAUUUACAAGUUCGUCCUCAAGAUAAUACUCAUUCCAUAUUGAUCUUUUGGGGCUUCCUCUGCCCCCGCCAGCUCAUGCCUUCCCGCGUAUAAUGCCUGUUCACAUAUCAAAGUUGUCAAAGUAUAAUGGAACACCAUGGCUAUUACAUGUGAGCUCCGCAAAGCAAUAACGUAACAGUUAUGGCCUACUUCGACUCCAACUGCACAUCUAGAUAGAGAGAGAGAGGUUGUUUUGCCAUUGAUUCAAAUGGUAGAGUUUAGAGGGUAAAGCUUCUUACCUCCAAACAAACAAGCACGCAAUAAAAUUUCUCACCCAACACUAUUAUUAUUCAAAUCUUUUUUUUGAAACGGUAAGAGUAAUAUUCAUUAGAUAGUGGAGCAAAACUCGUAAAUAUAAAAGUACAAGACGAAAAAAAUCAGGAGGAGUUCUCCCUAGAUCCAAGACUGACCAAACCUAACUCCUAGAAUACACCAAACCUAAAAACCUCGCCAAUACAUGCACCAAUUGAUCCAAACAAAAAUACACAAAAACCUCGUCUUUUCAAAACAAAACUUCUGAGCUCCUACUUCCAACAAGUAGCCCCAAGAGCGCGCCUCCCUAAUCAAUGCUUUUUUCUGCCUAACAAACGUUGCAAUCUUGUGAUCAAAGUCUCAGCUGUGAGGUCCAUGACUAUUGAGGACUGCAUUUUUCCAUUUCCUUUUAAUUGCUAGAACCGAAAACAAGCCUCCAAAUCCCAUCCGAAACCCCAAGCUCAUACCCAUCCAAAAUGAUGAAACCUUUCGCGAACUACUUCUCAAAUGCCCUUCACCAUUUAUGAUUGGAACUAUGUUAUCACCAUCACACUUUUUAGGAAGAGAAGGACCACAAAGAUCUUGGUUUCCAUAAUAUGUUAGAAGCCUCGAAUGUACUCAUAUGACCAGCACAGGGAAUUGGUCCUGAUAAUUUGCUGUAUGACAAGUUCAAAGCUCCCAAACCCUCAUGCUACUGGAAAGGGAUUUUUUGAUAAAUCCAUAGACUAUAAAUCUCUAAAUCUAUUAAUAUUCAGAAGAAUCUCUCAGAUCAAGUGGUUGCUGGAUAAAUUAUACACAAACAAGCCAAUCAGCUUCACCAGUGAUUCAAGAAUCUUUCUUGAGAGACUAUUGCUUGAAAGGUCUAUGGUAGUUGCAAGAAAAAGAAACUAAAUUGAGAGACUAUUGCUUGAAAGGUCUAUGGUAGUUACAAGAAAAAGAAACUAAAUUUAAUAUCUCAGUGCCCCUUUUUCCACUAUAUCAAUUCUUGAGUAGUCGAAGGGCCCAUAGUGAUCAUAGGUGGAGCAAGACAUCUUCUCCAUAAUUGUCAUGGCAGAAGUUUUUGAAAAUGUCAGGGCUAUCAUCAAGUGACAAAACAAAGAACCAUGUACACAAAGAAAGAACUUAACCAAAAUAUUUAUAAGUAAGAAAAGGAGAGUGAAAAAAGGGCCUAUGUUGGAAAUAGCUUCUCCAAUAUCUCGAUCUGAUCAAUGAUCCAUAAAGAGGAAGCAUGGACCUUCUUCUGCUUCGUAAUCGCAAGAGGCAAGCCAUCACACUCGCACUUUUGGAGCAAAUUUUUCUUUGGGCUUUUGAGACUUGAUGUGCUUCUCGACGUUCUUGUUGAGUUCGCUCUGAGUUCGCUAUAGAGAUUGAUCUUUUCUCGGACUAUGAUCAUCUUUUAUAUCAUCAUUUUCUCCUGCAAAUUCACAACAGCCUUCAACCUUUUGUGAUGCUCAUGAGACUUGCUUGGAUCCAUGUGAUUUUUUAGAGAGAGAGAGAUAUUUAUGGUGAGAUUGUCCGGGAGGGAACGGAAAGAGGUCUUGUCCUUUUCUUUCAUUAAAUCUGUGGGAAGUUACUUUAUUUUAUGAGCUCAUAUAGUAUGCUCCCAUGGGAGCAUAUUCUGUAUCUACUCUAUUUAGGACUAUUAUUUUAUUCUAAAUUUCG